GACGAACGAUGGCGGCGUGCUUAACACAUGCAAGUCGAACGGAAAGGCCCUGCUUUUGUGGGGUGCUCGAGUGGCGAACGGGUGAGUAACACGUGAGUAACCUGCCCUUGACUUUGGGAUAACUUCAGGAAACUGGGGCUAAUACCGGAUAGGAGCUCCUGCUGCAUGGUGGGGGUUGGAAAGUUUCGGCGGUUGGGGACGGACUCGCGGCUUAUCAGCUUGUUGGUGGGGUAGUGGCUUACCAAGGCUUUGACGGGUAGCCGGCCUGAGAGGGUGACCGGCCACAUUGGGACUGAGAUACGGCCCAGACUCCUACGGGAGGCAGCAGUGGGGAAUAUUGCACAAUGGGCGGAAGCCUGAUGCAGCAACGCCGCGUGCGGGAUGACGGCCUUCGGGUUGUAAACCGCUUUCGCCUGUGACGAAGCGUGAGUGACGGUAAUGGGUAAAGAAGCACCGGCUAACUACGUGCCAGCAGCCGCGGUGAUACGUAGGGUGCGAGCGUUGUCCGGAUUUAUUGGGCGUAAAGGGCUCGUAGGUGGUUGAUCGCGUCGGAAGUGUAAUCUUGGGGCUUAACCCUGAGCGUGCUUUCGAUACGGGUUGACUUGAGGAAGGUAGGGGAGAAUGGAAUUCCUGGUGGAGCGGUGGAAUGCGCAGAUAUCAGGAGGAACACCAGUGGCGAAGGCGGUUCUCUGGGCCUUUCCUGACGCUGAGGAGCGAAGGCGUGGGGAGCGAACAGGCUUAGAUACCCUGGUAGUCCACGCUGUAAACGGUGGGUACUAGGUGUGGGGUCCAUUCCACGGGUUCCGUGCCGUAGCUAACGCUUUAAGUACCCCGCCUGGGGAGUACGGCCGCAAGGCUAAAACUCAAAGGAAUUGACGGGGCCCCGCACAAGCGGCGGAGCAUGCGGAUUAAUUCGAUGCAACGCGUAGAACCUUACCUGGGUUUGACAUGGAUCGGGAGUGCUCAGAGAUGGGUGUGCCUCUUUUGGGGUCGGUUCACAGGUGGUGCAUGCCUGUCGUCAGCUCGUGUCGUGAGAUGUUGGGUUAAGUCCCGCAACGAGCGCAACCCUUGUUCACUGUUGCCAGCACGUUAUGGUGGGGACUCAGUGGAGACCGCCGGGGUCAACUCGGAGGAAGGUGGGGAUGACGUCAAGUCCUCAUGCCCCUUAUGUCCAGGGCUUCACGCAUGCUACAAUGGCUGGUACAGAGAGUGGCGAGCCUGUGAGGGUGAGCGAAUCUCGGAAAGCCGGUCUCAGUUCGGAUUGGGGUCUGCAACUCGACCCCAUGAAGUCGGAGUCGCUAGUAAUCGCAAAUCAGCAACGCUGCGGUGAAUACGUUCCCGGGGCU
rnacentral:rRNA from 1 species